AGCAGUAGACAGUCGAAUCGCAGCGGUGCGUGCGUGUGUGCGCGGGGUGCUAAUGAACGCGUUUGGUGGCGGUUUCAACCAAAACAAACCUGGUGGCUUUGGCCAGCAGGCGCAACCAGCGCAAGCGGCAUUCGGCCAGCAGGCGCAGGCAGGAGGCUUUGGACAACAGCCGCCGCAGCAGGUCGGCGGCUUCGGCCAGCAGACGGGUGGAUUUGGCCAACCGGCACAACCACAAAGCGGAUUUGGCCAGGCGGGUAUGUCGCAAGCAGCGGGCGGCUUUGGCCAGGCUCAGCAGCAGCCAGUCGCCGGCUUCGGGCAGCAACCGCAGGUUAGUGGAUUUGGCCAGCAGGCGACCCAACAGGGUGCCGGAUUCGGGCAGCAGGCGGGUGGAUUUGGCCCGCAGUCGCAGCAGCAAGGCGGCUUUGGUCAAGCGGCUGCAGCGCCACAGACUGGGGCCUUUGGCCAGCAGCCGCCGCAGCAGAUGAGUGGCUUUGGCCAACAGUCUCAGCAGCAGGUCGGUGGCUUCGGCCUGCAGCCCGCCACUGCUAUGGGGGGCUUUGGGCAGCAGCCGCAGCAGGCAGGCGGAUUCGGGCAGCAGACGGGUGGAUUUGGCCAGCAGUCGCAGCAGCAAGGCGGAUUUGGACAAACGCCGCCACAGCAGCAGAGCGGUUUCGGACAGGCGGCUGCCGGCGGCUUCGGUGCGGGGCGAGGCGGCGUUGGCUUCGGUGCAGCUGGCGGCUUUAAUCAGUCAACAGCGCAGGGAGGAGGGUUCGGUGCUUCUCAGCCGGCCGUGAAUGCUUUUGGGCGACCACAGCAAGCGCAGGGUGGAUUUGGCACCCAGACCACUGCUGGUGCUCAGCUCGGCGGCGGACAGGGCACGGGUGGCUUUGGCGCUGCUCCUCAGGGCGGCUUCGGCUCACAGCAGCCGGCGCCUGGUGGCUUUGGCCAACAGGCGGCUACCGGCGGCUUCGGCCAGUCCGCUGCACCAGGUGGCUUCGGCACUGCACAACAGACUGGUGCUGGUGGGUUCGGUGCUGGACGCGGCACUACAGGCUUUGGCGGGCCGCAGGCCACCGCCGGUGGCUUCGGCGCCGGCCGCGGGGCCACCGGCUUCGGACAGGCUGCGCAGGGUGGGUUCGGUGCGCAGCAGCCAGCCGCCAGUGGGUUUGGACAAGUGCAGCAGCAGGCGGCCGGCUUCGGAGCACAGCAGGCGACGACCGGGGGCUUUGGGCAACCUGCUCAGGGCGGCUUUGGCAACGGUGCUUCCCAAACCAUCACUGGUGGUGGAUUUGGCGGGGCCCAGCAACAACAGCCGCAGGGCUCCGCCGGCGGGUUCGGAGCUCAGCCCAGCGCCGCAGGCGGCUUCGGACAGGCCACCGGUGGCUUUGGAGCUCAGCAGCCAGCUGUUAGUGGAUUCGGCCAGGCAGCGCAAGGCGGCGCCUUCGGCCAGCAGUCACAGCCCGCCGCGGGCGGGUUCGGCGCAGGCCGCGGCACCACCGGCUUCAAUGUCGGGGGCGGCUUUGGGGGCUCACAGCAACAGCCGCAGACCGCCGCGGGCGGAUUUGGGGCCCCGAAAGGCGCGGCAGGUGGGUUUGGGCAGGCCGCUGGUGGCGGAUUUGGACAAGGAGUGGGCGGCUUUGGCGCACAGCAGCCAAAAGCUGGCGGCUUCGGUCAAGCAGCCCCCGCUACCGGCUUCGGGCAGGCUGCCCCCGCCACUAGCUUCGGCCAGGCUGCCUCCGCUUCUGGCUUCGGUGCGCAGCCGCCGGCCACUGGUGGCUUUGGGCAGGCACCUGCUGCAGCAGCACUUGCCAGUGCGCCGGCCGCUGGCUCUGGCGUGAAUGUGGGCCGUCCCACUGACUUGGCUUUCAUGUCCCUUCCUGACUACAACGCAACGCCGUAUGGCAACGUGCUGCUCUUCGACUCAUACGAGCGGCCUCAGGCGGCCAAGCAGACGGCGAAGACGAUCGAGGAUGACUUGAAGCCCGUUGUACCUCCAGCCCGUCGGGCGAUGCACACGUGGAUGGUGACGCAGAUGCGGGUGCCUGACGAGAACACGUUGAUGAAGCAAGUACCAGCGUCCCUCGCCUCGAGCGCCCUGUCGCCAGUGGCGCUGAAGGAGAUGCUGGUCCCUGCUGUGCAGCUCGGCGGCGCCGCGGCAGGAGAGCCCGCCGGGGCGCAGAAGCGGGUGUCGCACGACUCGCCACGGCGGCCGUCGCCCGCGACGGCGGAUGCGCCGAUCGUCAACGCCGCUGUGCCACGGUGCACCAACCCUGAGUAUACCCUGGAGCCCAGCCUCGCUCAGCUGGCCACCUACACCCCCGAGGAGCUCCGCCGCGUCUCACGCUUCACGAUUAGUCGUCUCGACGGCUCGUGUGAGGUACGCUUUCUGGAGCCGGUGAACCUGGUGCGCGUCGACGUAGCCGCGGUGGUGCACCUCGGCAGUGACGGGCACGUUGCAUUGUACCCUGACGGCGACGCCCCGCCCUUGUCGAGCGGUUUGAACGUGCGAGCCGAGGUGCGGGUGCGCGAUCCUACCGGCAAGGCCACGGAGGGCAUCGCCCGCUACUGCGCGGAAACGCGCGCCCACUUCGUGGGUCACCGGCAGGGGUGUUGCGUCUACCGUCUGAACGACAGCAGUUCCGCGGCCGGCGCGUCCCGUGCGGCUCUUGGGCAGGAUGCGAGCGACACCGCCCCGCUCUCCAUCAUCCACGACGAGGAUGAGCACUCGCACAACCUCGACCCCUCGAGUGACGACAGUGAGGAGGAAGACACAGACGACAUACGCAGCGCCGAUCAGCCGCAGGCGGCCACUGGUAGCGGAGGCGCACUGGCGAUUGCCGAUGCGGAAGUGCGCACGUACACGGUGCCGCCGCCACCAGCGACGCGAAGGCCAGUGGUAGAGCGGCGCCUGACGCUGGCUUCGGCUGCUGACUUCGAUCUGCCGUACGCCCUGCCGGACAUGAGCGUGGAGAGCAAGUGCGAGCCGUUCUCGGUGAAGCUGGGGACAUCGCGCCGCACGACUGAGCCGCGCGUGUACUACGUGCGCGCGCAGGAGUCGAUCAUUCAGCGCACCUACGUCAACCAUCCACCGCGGUUGCAGCCCUCGGAGCGGACGAUUCGCGGCAUGCUAGCGAGGAGCGUGCGAGCCGGCUGGAGCACUGCCGGCAGCGUUGCGUUCCCGUCGCACGCGGAGUUACGCGACGGGGCGGAGGUGGGUGGCGCGGUGCCAGAGGUGGUGGGUGCCUGCGCCGUUGCCGCCACUCCGUUUCACUGGCACAAGCCGUCCCAGAAAGCGCUCACCCAGUGCGCUGUGGCGCUGCUUCGCCUGUUUCUGCAGCACACCGACGUGGCAGACGACGCGGCGUGUCCACUGGCAUCGAUUCAUCUCCACCGCAACAAGAGCCACAACACGCUCUCGGCGGAGAAGCUGAAGGUGGCGUCCAAUGCCAUCGAAGGCGUGAUCUCGGCAGCUGGCAAGGCAUCUCUCUCUCGCGUAGAGCUGCUCUCCACGCGGCAGACCUGCACCGUCCUCUCCCUUCUCUCCGCCCUCUACGCCCUGCCUGAGGCGGACGCCGCUGUCCCGAACGCGAUGGAGGAGGCGCGGUACCUUACGCAGCUGCGCCAUCGAAAUCUGGCUGGCUGGCUGAAAACGGAGCUCGCUGCCUUUCUCGACAGCUCCGCUACGCGUGCGGUGAAGUUGUCCCCUGCGGAGGAACUGGUGCAGGCUAUGCUGUGCCACAGGCUUCGCGAGGCCCGCGCCUCCGCUCAGUCGGUCGCGAACGCGGAGCUGGCGCGUGUGGUGCGCGUGUGCGGGGAGGGGAACCAGUUUGGCGGCUACAUCGAGAUGGCGAAGAGCGGGUUCAAGGACGGUGAGGAGGUGCGUCAGCGUGUCGUGAGCCUCCUCUCUGGCAAGGUGGAACCCUUCAUCCGUGACGAGGAGUACACGGGCCUGGACGAAGAGACAGCUGAGGUAUGCGCGGCCCCGACGGCGGCCACGUGGAAACAGCUGCUGGGCAUCUUCACUUUCUACGGCUGUGUCCCGGAUACGCCGGCCGAGGACAUAAUUCAUGCCUUCCUCGAGCGGCUGCGCGCACCGUCGUCGCGCAAGCUCAAUCCUUUGCCUCCGUACGCCGAACGUGUCGACACCGCUGUGCUGCGGACGCACCGUGGGAAAGAUGUUGUGCGGCGCGGCAACACCUUCCAAGAUGCUGCGUUGCUGCUCUUGGAAGGAUUCGCCAACGGCUCGGCUCCCCCGGCUGCCUGCCUGCACCCCCACGCGUCGAGCUACUCGGGCGCCGACUAUCUCACUGCCUUCGUGAUUGUGGCUGCGAUCCGCGCUGUCCAAGUACCGAGGGAGCAAGCCUACAGAGAUGCGGAGCUGUCGGUGCUUCUCGGCAUGACGGCAGAACUCGAGUGCAACGACGAGACGUGGUUCUGGGGCCUCCUUCCUCUGCACAUGAUCGAGUCGCCCGCCAACCGCCUCGACGCCGUGCGCGCGUUUUGCAAACGCAACGCCAUGCGUGCCAGCGUUCAGAAGCAGCUGGGCGAGCCCCAGGCGGAUUACGAUAGAUUAGUAAGCCUGAUGCGUGUGAACGAGGGCUGGCUGGAGCCGGUUUACGUCCCUCCAGAGGAGGAGAGGAGUGCCGCAGAGAACAUGCCGAGCGUAAGGACGCACGCCGCCCUCGAGAAGGCACUGGCAAAGCUGGCGAUAGAGCCGUGGUAAGGGUAACGCAGCCGGCAAGGGCGUGACGCGACUGAGACAAGGCGUAGCGCACGCACACGGACUCGUGCCAGUGGGUAUCUGUGGACGUUUGUGUGUGUUAGCGUCUCCAUCGGACGGCUUAGAGCAGCGGGCGCGUGUCUUACAUUUUUUUGUCUUCUGUGUUCCUGCCACAUCGCUCGAGCGCUGCACCUUGAUUGAGAAUGGCCUCUGGCCAGUCGUGCGCGCCACUCGCUGUUUCUUACGUGUGUAGGGUAAUGAAGGGGUGCGUGUGCGUAUGCGUGUUUGUGUGUGCGCGUCGUGCGUUGGCUUUUGCCACUUGACUCCGUUGUCAUGGUGAUGGCAGUGCUGCAUGCAUUCUCUCUGUCUUGGGAUGCCAAAAACGUGUCGUGCCUUUGCCAUCCGCAUCAGUCUUUGUCGUUGCCGUGUAGUGGUUCAUUUUGUUUUGCCAGAGAGGGAGGGCAGCGCCUAUGUCGCACCUGCGCGUGUGUGCCUGUGCUGGUCUCUGUGCUUGUAGGGGUUCGCCUGUGGCUUUAGGAGGAGGUGCAGCGACAUGCAGGCACACGCGCGCUAACGCAUCGGUGCCUGACUCGUCUCGUGAAUACACUAUAAGAGAAACACAGAAGCACAGUAUGCGUGCAUCGCGACUCAGCGGCGUGAUUGCGCGCAUGCGCGUGCAUGUGCUUGACAUCGCAAAGGACUGCCACUUCACGCAUCUAGUUCAUAAGGGCGCACGGGAAUUCCUCAGACCCCACUCCACGAUAGGAUCUCUGCACACGAAAUGGAUGGCAGUCGAUGGUGGCAACAUCACACGCUUGUGUGUGCCCUGGAAACAUGUGAGGCUUGGCCCGGUCUCUGUCGAGGACGGCUAGCGCACUCCAGCUGCACGCUGAAGAGGGGCGAUACAUCCAGAGGCCAUAAAGUGUUUACUGCUUUUCUCAGGUGGGCGCACGCAGCGCUGCCGUUGCUGUCAAGGGCACCGUCUGUGGUGCGAGGGCACUGCUGCUCCAUCCUUGUUGUUCUUCGGUUGUAGCUGUGCUUCUGUGUGCUACGUUCCUUGCACCGCUGACGUGUGAAGGGGGCAGAAGGCCUCUCCACGCAUGGCUGCCUCGCCUUG
rnacentral:misc_RNA from 1 species